UGGUAAUGCCGGAUGCUCCAGUUGACCGCAUGGUCCUCUGGGAAAGCUUUUGCGGUAUGGGAUGGGGUCGCGUCCUAUCAGCUUGAUGGCGGGGUAACGGCCCACCAUGGCUUCGACGGGUAGCCGGCCUGAGAGGGCGACCGGCCACAUUGGGACUGAGAUACGGCCCAGACUCCUACGGGAGGCAGCAGUGGGGAAUAUUGCACAAUGGGCGCAAGCCUGAUGCAGCGACGCCGCGUGCGGGAUGACGGCCUUCGGGUUGUAAACCGCUUUUGACUGGGAGCAAGCCCUUCGGGGUGAGUGUACCUUUCGAAUAAGCACCGGCUAACUACGUGCCAGCAGCCGCGGUAAUACGUAGGGUGCAAGCGUUAUCCGGAAUUAUUGGGCGUAAAGGGCUCGUAGGCGGUUCGUCGCGUCCGGUGUGAAAGUCCAUCGCUUAACGGUGGAUCCGCGCCGGGUACGGGCGGGCUUGAGUGCGGUAGGGGAGACUGGAAUUCCCGGUGUAACGGUGGAAUGUGUAGAUAUCGGAAAAAAAACA
rnacentral:rRNA from 1 species